GUGGUGUGUCUUUCUCAAACCAAACCAUAUGCCGUAUUUAUAACCGGGUUUCGGACUCGUCUUUUGGAAACCUUCGUAACAAAAGUCGUAUGCAAAAUGAUCAAACUAAUGCAUGCCUUCCUCAACCUCUUGGCUAAGAUGAAGUGUAUUACUGUUCAACAGUUUAGUAACAAUAUAAAUAAAAAGUCAAUAUCAGACUUCAAGUAGUUCAUAACUUUCUUCUUCCUUUUAAAAACAAACGACAUAAUUCUUUUUGUUUCAACUUAGUUUGAAAGGCAUGGUAUUUCAUCUUCUUUAUAAAUACGCAAAUGACAUUAGGAUAUUAACGAAAACAACAGAAAGAAUGAGAAGUUAUACCGAACAGUGAGUCCAAUGUAACUCCGGCGUCGUUUCCUCGA
rnacentral:lncRNA from 1 species